ACAGUAGCGCCAGCUUUUGGUGUUCUAAAGACAUCUGUCUGAAGAAUUAAACGGGAAGUCGGUGCGCCAUCAGGCAAACCCGACGCUGCCCCCGCAACGGUAAACGAGUAAAGACCGGCAUCAUGCCACUGUGCAAUCGCAUGGGAAGGCGCCGGUCGGAAACUUCCACUCGUGAGCCCGGAGACCGGCCCGAAGCAGAACCAUAGG
rnacentral:ncRNA from 2 species